rnacentral:rRNA from 1 species
AUGCGAGUUGACGAUUUUUCGUAGCGAACGGGUGAGGAUAAUACAGAAUUUCCCUUCUUAGUUUAGGAUAAAACGUAUUCAGUUUUUGAAGUAAAAACAAAAUAUUUGUUUUCCGUUAAUACUAAAUAGUAAUAAAGAUUAUUUUAGAUGUUUUAAUAAUCGCUAAAAGAUAAAUCUGUAGAAGAUUAGGUAGUUGGUAAUGUUAAAAGCUUACCAAGCCGACGAUCUUUAGUUGAUCUGAGAGGAUGAUCAACCACACUGGAACUGAGACAAGGUCCAGGCUAAGUAUUUUUGGCCAGCAGUGAGGAAUAUUGGACAAUGAACGAAAGUUUGAUCCAGCAAUACUAUAUGAACGAUGACUGCUAAUUUGGCUGUAAAGUUCUUUCGUUAAGUAUGAUAAUGACAAACUUAAAGAAUUUUAGUCCCGGCUAAUCUCGUGCCAGCAGCCGCGGUAAUACGGGAGGGGCAAGCGUUAUUCAAAAUAACUGGGCGUAAAGGGUUCGUAGACGGUAAUACAAGUUAUUUGUUAAUCUUUAAAGCCUAACUUUAAAUAAGCAUAUAAUACUGUUUUACUUGAGUUUUUUUCAGAAGAGUGGAAUUUUAUGUGAAGGGGUGAAACCCGUAGAUACAUAGAGGAAUACCAUUAAAAGCGAAAGCGACUCUUUAGUAAAAACUGACGUUGAGGGACG